rnacentral:lncRNA from 1 species
GUCUAUAAAUUACACCAUCUGAAAAGCAUUGAAACACUACUACAAAACCGUUUCCAAAGCUUAUAUCAUUGUUCUUAUUAUGGCAUUGUUUAAGAUGGGUUUCGUUUUCACUGUUCUUCUCGUGGCAACUGCGAGUUAGUAUCUAUCUCACCUUAAUGAUUCUACAUUAUUGUCCAUGUCACAAUAUAUGUAGGUCGAUAAUGUCAUGUCUCUCCAUGCAUGAUGAUUCAAUGUGUUACUACUAAAAAAUACUGGAGUUAGCUACGAACUUUAUCGCUAAUCUGUCACUAAAUCGUUCAUAUCUAACAGAAAAUUUUGAUAAUCUGUCACUAAUCUAUCGCUAAGUAGUAUUAGUAAUGGAGUUUUGUCUUAAGCUAUAAAAUUCGUCUGUUGCUAUUUCAUUUAUUUUAGUAGCGUUAUUUUGUGUUACAUCGUCAACAUAUUUUGAUUUUGUACUAAUAACGAUAGUGGUUAACUAUUUCAGUUAAAAUAGCAUGGUUUUCUGAGAUGCAUCUUGUGGUUGCACGGAAUGUUGAUCAUGAUUUCCCAGGACUCGAGCGGAGACUGCUUCCACAACUUAAUGGACUUACAUGUUUUCGAUCUUGUGAACAUACCUAUUAUUGUGGCAAGGAUUGUUGGGUUUGUUGUGCUUGCCGUGGAGAUAAGGGAAACCAGAUAUGUAUGCCUUAAAGGUACAUUGGUGUUCAAUUGUAAUGUACUUUGUUUCAGAUCCCUAUUGUGCAUUUAUGUUAUUGUAAGUCUAGUGUUCCUUGUUUUCUCUUUGUAAUUUGUAAGAAAAUAAAGUAAUUCAAGAGAAUGGCUUUUAGUUGCUGUUUCCUAUUUUCACUUGGUACGAAAAUUAAGUGAAGAUAUUGGCUUUAUGUUAAUGAAUAAAAUGGGAUUUGAAUUAUAAUGGUU